AGGAUCACUCUCUUGCUGCUCUGUCUGGGAGUGUUUCUAUUCCUUUCUGGAUGGCCCCAGAUUGCACACUGUCAAUACCACAGCCCCCCAGAAGUGGUGAUACCUGUCAGGAUAACUGGCAUUGGUAGAAACAUAAAGCUUCCAGGCUGGCUCUCAUAUAGCCUGUGCUUUGGGGAACAGAGACACAUUGUCCACAUGAAGGCCAAGAAGAAUCUGAUAUCCAGAUACCUUUCUGUGUUCAGUUACACUGAUCAGGGUGCUCUCCUUGAGAACCAACCUUUUGUCCAAAGUGAUUGCUACUACCAUGGUUAUAUGGAAGGGGACCCAGAGUCCCUGGUUGCUCUCAGCACCUGUUUUGGGGUCUUUUAAGGAAUACCACGAGUAAAUGAUGUUGUUUAUGAAAUCAAGCCCAAAGGCUUUCUGCCACAUUUGAACAUCUGGUGUAUAAGCUAGAUAGCAAGGAGACGCAAUUCCCACCCUUAGGAUGUGGAUUAACAGAAGAAGAAAUAGCACGACAAUUGAAGUUUCAAGACAGUGAUAACUCCACUCUGAUGCAAAGCACCUAUGAGGGCUAGCGGACCCACAGAUGGCUUCUUGAACUGGCAGUGGUGGUAGACCGCACACGAUUCCUUUAUCAGAAAAGGAAUAUUUCAAAUGUGCAGAAGGAUGUAAGCCUUAUUAUCAAUGAAGUAGAUGCCUUUUAUUCUUCAGUAGAAGUUGUUGUGGUUUUACUUGGAAUUGAGAUUUCGAUCGAAGGAAACCCCAUAGCAAUAAAUGACCUAUAUGCAGUCCUGCCAGAAUUUUGCAAAUGGAAGAAGGUCAGCUUAAAUUCCCACAUAAAACAUGAUGCUGUACAUCUUAUUGUGAAGAAAGGAUAUGGUAGAUUUGCUGGCUUAUCCUACCUCGGAACAGGAUGUAGUCUUGCUGGUAAUUGUGGAGUUGUUAGUUUCCUGGAUGACCAAAUGCUUAGAUUUGCAUUCAUUAUGGCACAUGAGCUUGGCCAUACUUUGGGUACGCCACAUGAUAGAAUCCCAUGUACAUGUGCGGAGAAAAUAUGCAUAAUGUGUCCGACAGUAAACAUCACAUAUAGGUUCAGCAACUGCUGUUACGAGAUGUUGUUCGCAACCACUGUGAAAACGACCUGUUUGCGUGGUUCGCCAAAUCCAGAGAACAUCUUCACACACAAGUACUGUGGGAACGGUGUGUUUGAGGAAGGAGAGGAGUGUGACUGUGGAUCUUUAUUCUUGUGUACUCAAGAUCUGUGUUGUUUGGCAAACUGUACUCUGAAACCUGGGGCUGCUUGCGCUUUUGGACUUUGUUGCAAAGACUGACAGUUUCUUCCAUCAGGACACUGGUGUAGAGAAAAGCACAAUGAAUGUGAUCUUUCAGAGAGGUGCGAUGGAACUUUGCAUAAUUGUCCAGAAGAUGUGUAUGUGCAGGAUGGCCUUGGUUGCAUGGACAGUGGCUACCGCUGUCAAAAGGCAUGUAGAAACCAUGAUGGACAGUGUAAACACAUUUUUGAGAAGGUAGCCAAGAGUGCAAAUCAGAGUUGCUACAGGGUGAACACCGACGGUGACUGUUUGGCCACUGUGGUUUCAAUAACACUAAAUAUGUAAGAUGUAAUAUUUCAGAUAUCCUGUGUGGGAGAGUUCAGUGUGAGAAUGUGACAGAAAUUCCCAUUCCGAGAGAUCAUUCUAUGAUGCAUUGGGCUCACUUCAACGGCAUCAACUGCUGGAGUACUGACUACCAUUUUGGAAUGACCAUACCUGAUAUUGGUGAAAUGAAAGAUGGCACAGAGUGUGGUUCAAAACAUGUGUGUACACAUAGGAAGUGUGUCCCUCUGCCAUUUGAGGAAAGUACUUGCUCACCUGAGACCUGUAAUAUGAGAGGCAUCUGCAACAAUAGACAUCGUCAUUGCAAUUAUAAGUGGGCCCCACCCUACUGCCUGUUAAAAGGCACAGGAGGAAGUGUUGACAGUGGCCCAUCCCCUAGGAAAAAAACAAAACUAUGAUUGCACAAGAAAAUUUUGUUGAUACUACUUUUAUUAAUUCCUGUGUGUCUCUGUUUACAUUUGUUAAUUUUGCUUAGUAAGAGCCAAAAA
rnacentral:lncRNA from 1 species